rnacentral:tRNA from 1 species
GCAGUGGUGGUUCAGUGCUAGAAUUCUCACCUUCCACAUGGGAGACCUGGGUUCAGUUCCUAUCCAAUGCA